AACGAACGCUGGCGGCAUGCCUAACACAUGCAGGUCGAACGAAGCCUUCGGGCUUAGUGGCGCACGGGUGCGUAACGCGUGGGAAUCUGCCCUUGGGUUCGGAAUAACAGUUAGAGAUGACUGCUAAUACCGGAUGAUGUCUUCGGACCAAAGAUUUAUCGCCCAAGGAUGAGCCCGCGUAGGAUUAGGUAGUUGGUGGGGUAAUGGCCCACCAAGCCGACGAUCCUUAGCUGGUAUGAGAGGAUGAUCAGCCACACUGGGACUGAGACCCGGCCCAGACUACUACGGGAGGCAGCAGUGGGGAAUAUUGGACAAUGGGCGAAAGCCUGAUCCAGCAAUGCCGCGUGAGUGAUGAAGGCCUUAGGGUUGUAAAGCUCUUUUACCAGGGAUGAUAAUGACAGUACCUGGAGAAUAAGCUCCGGCUAACUCCGUGCCAGCCGCCGCGGUAA
rnacentral:rRNA from 1 species